rnacentral:miRNA from 1 species
CAAAUCCUUCUGUCAGCUAGCA